CCCCAGUUAAUCAGUAUCUGAAAAUUACUAGAUAGAAAAGUCUAACACAAAUUUAGAGGUUAUCUAUCAGGUUGUUUAAAAUAUCAUUUUUAGUGCAGGUAUACUGAAGAAUAAAUGGUAUAAUAGAAGGAAAAUAUACUUCAUUUUUAUUUAAAUACAACAGAAAUGACUCUGUUUUAUGUAAAAUUAAUUUCUCUUUAUUAGAUGGGAAAAGUCAUGGUAUUAAUAGAGGGCUAUAACUUAUCAGGAGAGUCCACAUAUAAAGAACAACUGGAAAAGUAAACAAGAUUGAAUUAUAUACCCAUGUAUAUUUGUUUUUUUAUUAUAAUGACCUGUUAAUUAUCUUUUUUUUCUACUAUGUAAUAACAUCUCUAUGAAUAAUAGUGUUUAGCCUCUUAAAGAAAAAUGUAAUAGAAUAUGUAAUUUGAUAUUUGUGAUAUAUUUAAUACUUAUAUAUGAUGAGGAAAGAAGCUCUGUAUUGUUUUUAAAAGGUGUGACAUCAUUACUGUUGACAUCACAAUUGCUAUCUUGCUGAAGAUUGGCUCACUCAUUGGUUCUUCCAAAGAAAACUACACGAGUAGGUAUUUUAUUACUUUCGUUUAUUCAACGGGCAGCGUUGCGACAUCCCAGAGAGGUCCGUACCGUACGACAGCCCGAGCACGACUGACUCCAGUGUCGACCGUGCGGAUGUAUUUAUAGGACCCGGCGCACGUGCUACUCCACGUAUUUUGAAAUGCGGCCGUAUUUAUGAGGCUCGGUGCACGUGCACGUGUUUUCAAUUCGUGUUCUAGUAUUUGCGCCGAUAUAUAUUAUAUGAUUCACAGAGAACUAUAAUGAUACUAGCUGACACAACAGUCUUUGUUCUGUUGUUAAAAAAAUCUUUUUAUUAAUUUGUCAAAAUCUAUUGUGAAAAUCUAAACCAAAAAACAAACAUAUUUCUGAACGAUAUAAUAUAAUAUCAUAAUAUGUUACCUAUUAAUUUGUGUGAAUUAUUAUCUUAUCUAGUUUAGUUUUAAGUUUAUGCACUUAUUAAAAGAACUCAAUCCA